AUGCUUUUCAUCUUGGCCAUUGACCCUCUUCAGCAGAUUCUCCAACUCGCCUCCCGACGAGGCAUCCUCAAGCCCAUUGCUGCCAGAACGGCCAGAUGUAGGAUCUCCCUUUAUGCUGACGAUGCGGGCAUCUUUGCGAACCCAAACAAGGAUGAGCUUCACGCGAUUUCGGCAAUCCUAAAGACCUUUGGGGAGGCAAGCGGACUGAUCACAAACCUGAGCAAGACCGAGGUCUUCCCGAUCAGAUGUGCCGGCAUUGACCUCCAAGAUGUGCUGUCGGUUUUCCCUGCCAAGAUUGCCACCUUCCUGGGACGCUAUUUGAGGCUCCCCCUACAUUUUCGUCGUCUUAAAGGUGUUGAUCUGCAACCCUUCAUUGAUAGGUUUGCAGGCAGACUACCAAGAUGGAAAGGAAAGCUUCUCAACAAGCCUGGCAGGGUGGCACUC
rnacentral:rRNA from 1 species